CAAUGUAGCUCAGUUGGUAGAGCAACGGUUUCGUAAACCGUAGGUCACCGGUUCGAAUCCGGUCAUUG
rnacentral:tRNA from 1 species